rnacentral:misc_RNA from 1 species
AACGCACCUUGCGCCUCUUGGUAUUCCGAGAGGCAUGCCUGUUUGAGUGUCAUUAAAUUCUCAACUUCAAUAGUUUUUAUAACUUGUUGAAGCUUGGAUGUGGAGGUUUUUGCUGGCUUUCAUUGGUCGGCUCCUCUUAAAUGUAUUAGUGGAGACUGCUUGUGGUCCACAAUUAGUGUGAUAAUUAUCUACGCUAUUUGAUGGUACUGCACGCUUUGUAGUGUUUCGAUUGGGAAGCUGCAUGAAUAGUGCUCUUUCUGCUUCAAUGAACCUGCAAAAGUGAAGUCAUUCUGCUUCUAACCGUCUUCUUGCAAGACAAUUUCUUGACUUUUUGACCUCAAAUCAGGUAGGACUACCCGCUGAACUUAA